ACUGCAUUUCACCACCAGGCCAAGGCCCAAGCACACAUGAGGGGGAACAGAACAAGCAUGUGCCUGCAACACUUUAUCCCAUAGUGAAAGUACAGUUGAAACAUGAGAGAUCCUUAGACCAGAGGGAAAACAAGCUGAAAAGAAAAAGGAAAGAGACAGCUGAAAAGGAAACUUCACCAGCAUCAGUGAUGGAUGGAUGGAUGAAGCCCUG